rnacentral:rRNA from 1 species
CCGUAACUAUAACGGUCCUAAGGUAGCGAAAUUCCUUGUCGGGUAAGUUCCGACCCGCACGAAAGGCGUAAUGAUUUGGGCACUGUCUCGACAAUGCACCCGGUGAAAUUGAAAUACCAGUGAAGAUGCUGGUUACCUGCGCCAGGACGGAAAGACCCCAUGGAGCUUUACUCUAGCUUGAUACUGGGGUUCGGUAUUGCAUGUACAGGAUAGGUGGGAGACUGAGAAGAUGUGUCGCCAGAUGCAUCAGAGUCGAUGUUGGGAUACCACCCCUGCAGUACUGGGCUUCUAACCUGCAGCCGUGACCCGGCUGGGGGACAAUGUCUGGUGGGGAGUUUGACUGGGGCGGUCGCCUCCGAAAGGGUAUCGGAGGCGCUCAAAGGUUCCCUCAGAAUGGUUGGAAACCAUUCGAAGAGUGCAAAGGCAGAAGGGAGCUUGACUGCGACACCGACGGGUGGAGCAGGUACGAAAGUAGGACUUAGUGAUCCGGUGGUAUAAAGUGGGAUUGCCAUCGCUCAACGGAUAAAAGCUACCCUGGGGAUAACAGGCUGAUCUCCCCCAAGAGUCCACAUCGACGGGGAGGUUUGGCACCUCGAUGUCGGCUCAUCGCAUCCUGGGGCUGUAUUCGGUCCCAAGGGUUUGGCUGUUCGCCAAUUAAAGCGGUACGCGAGCUGGGUUCAGAACGUCGUGAGACAGUUCGGUCCCUAUCCGGCGUGGGCGUAGGAUAUCUGAGAGGAGCUGUCCUUAGUACGAGAGGACCGGGAUGGACUGACCUCUGGUGCACCGGUUGCAUUGCCAAAUGCAUAGCCGGGUAGCCAAGUCGGGACGGGAUAAACGCUGAAGGCAUCUAAGCGUGAAGCCCCCCUCAAGAUGAGAUAUCCCAUUCGAAAGAAGUAAGACCCCUUGAAGACGACGAGGUAGAUAGGGCAGAGGUGGAAGUGCAGUAAUGCAUGGAGCUGACUGUUACUAAUAGGUCGAGGGCUUAAUCUG